AUUGAACGCUGGCGGCAUGCUUUACACAUGCAAGUCGAACGGCAGCGCGGGCUUCGGCCUGGCGGCGAGUGGCGAACGGGUGAGUAAUGCAUCGGAACGUGCCCAGUAGUGGGGGAUAGCCCGGCGAAAGCCGGAUUAAUACCGCAUACGACCUGAGGGUGCAAGCGGGGGACCGAAAGGCCUCGCGCUAUUGGAGCGGCCGAUGUCGGAUUAGCUAGUUGGUGGGGUAAAGGCUUACCAAGGCGACGAUCCGUAGCUGGUCUGAGAGGACGACCAGCCACACUGGGACUGAGACACGGCCCAGACUCCUACGGGAGGCAGCAGUGGGGAAUGUUGGACAAUGGGGGCAACCCUGAUCCAGCCAUGCCGCGUGCGGGAAGAAGGCCUUCGGGUUGUAAACCGCUUUUGUUCGGGAAGAAAUCCUCUGGGCUAAUACCCCGGGGGGAUGACGGUACCGGAAGAAUAAGCACCGGCUAACUACGUG
rnacentral:rRNA from 1 species